UACGAAGGGGCAAGCGUUGUUCGGAAUCACUGGGCGUAAAGAGUUCGUAGGCGGUUCAGUUAGUCAGAGGUGAAAGCCCAGGGCUCAACCUUGGAAAUGCCUUUGAUACUGCUGAACUAGAAUCCGUGAGAGGGUGGUGGAAUUUCCAGUGUAGAGGUGAAAUUCGUAGAUAUUGGAAGGAACACCAGUGGCGAAGGCGGCCACCUGGCGCGGUAUUGACGCUGAGGACGAAAGCGUGGGGAGCAAACAGG
rnacentral:rRNA from 1 species